CGAGGAAUAUUGGUCAAUGGGCGGAAGCCUGAACCAGCCAUCCCGCGUGCAGGAAGACAGCCCUAUGGGUUGUAAACUGCUUUUUCAGUGGGCGAAACACUCGUACGUGUACGAGAUUGACGGUACACUGGGAAUAAGCAUCGGCUAACUCCGUGCCAGCAGCCGCGGUAAUACGGAGGAUGCAAGCGUUAUCCGGAUUUAUUGGGUUUAAAGGGUGCGUAGGCGGAUGAAUAAGUCAGUGGUGAAAGGCUGCAGCUUAACUGUAGACUUGCCGUUGAUACUGUUUAUCUUGAGUAUGGUCAAGGCAGGCGGAAUGUGUAAUGUAGCGGUGUAAUGCUUAGAUAUUACACAGAACACCGAUAGCGAAGGCAGCGUGCUGGGCCAUUACUGACGCUGAGGGACGAAAGCGUGGGGAGCGGACAG
rnacentral:rRNA from 1 species